rnacentral:lncRNA from 1 species
CAUUCUUUUAAGCGGCUCCCCCACUUCUAAUCUUAGUUUCCAUCCCAAUUUGGGAAUUGUUCCUGCCUGGAGAUGAGGGAACCAUCAAUGGUCUUGUCUGAGAUGCAUGCCUUGGUGCACAACAAAUUCCUCUGCCAUCGCUUAGUCCUUCAAAGCUGACAAUGCUUUUGGAGUCAUGCAGACACCUGAUGGAAGAGUCUUCCAGGCAGAAGGAAGGACAAAUACCCUUGAUGUACAUGUACUUGGCUGGCAUGAGGAAGAGUAAUGUGGAAGGAUACAGAUAGUUGGGAACAUAUAGUGCCUGUGAAUGACCAGUAUGUUCACUCCAAUAACAUCAGGCAAGCAAUUCCACGUAAUACUGGAGAAGGCUGUUGAAGUGACUGAAUCUGGCCAAAUAUUCUGAGCUUUUCGGAGGGAUUUUUAACAUUCUAAAUGCUAUCUGGAACAUCGAUGCAGCAUGGGAAGAAGUCACACAGCCAUGCAUGAACAGCAUUUGGAAGAAAGUUUUGAAGACAUAUGUGAACACAUUCAAAAUGUUAACAGAGAUUCUGCCAUAUUCAUAAGCUUG